CUAAGGCAGCACUUAGAGAUUGGGCCUCUUUGUUGGUGAGUUGGUCGUCUGUGAAGUGAUGAAAUAAAAAACAAAGGGUAUGAAAUUAUAUUUUCUUUAUGCAACUUGGAAGUAAAAUUAUACUAAUAGUAUAAUCGACUAUGUUCUCAAAGGGUAUAUAUUAUACUCAAUAAUUGUAAUUAUUGCGAUAUUUUUUUUUUUUGGGGGGGGGGUGCCUCUUUUAUAUUAUUGGUAAAUUUAAGGGUGGGGAAUUUCAUUUAGCCCCUGCUUACGUUCUACCAUUGCUGUUACAGCAUAUAAACUCCAAAAUGGGCCAGUUCGAUAUAUGAAUUCUUACUGUAUCCACGCUCUGUCAGUUCAACCUGCCUCACUUUCCCUUCCUUCGCUAGUGAGGCAGCAAUCUUCCUCCAGUCUUGGGCUUUCUGCUGGAGGGUCGGGAUGCCAAGGAAGUCGGAGAAGGCGUGCUUUAAUUUACCCGUGGCCAAAAAAUCAAAAAAUCCAGCUACACUGUGGCAAUAACUUGCCACAGUCCCCUCAGCCUUCUUCUGCUUCUUCUGUUCAGCCACCCACAUGCUUGAGGCCUCCUCAACGUUGAGGAGGCCAUCCAAGGACCCAUUGCAAAGGGAAGAGGCUAUUUACUGAUGAUGAGCUGUUCAAGCAAGGCUCCUUCUUUCCCACAUUUGCAGUUUGGUCUACAGGGACUUCCCCAUAAUCUGCAUCUGUGGCCAGCAGUGCUACUUGGAACAAUGUCCACAGCAAGUGGCUGCCCUUGGCACACUGGACAGACACUAUGGAAUGCUGCUGCCAGACGCCGCAGCUGCCCUUCCUCCACCUGAUGGAAUCGGCUGGAUGCUGCCUCCUCCUCCUCCCCUCCUCCCCUCCUUCCCCCUCCUCCCCUCCUCCCCUCCUCCUCCCCUCCUCCCCUCCUCCAAACUCCCCUCCAAACACUUCAUCUCCAGAGCAAAUUAUUUGCAGACCAGAACAGUCCCUGGAAACAAAUCAAGAAUGGCACACUGCAUUCAUCUGACGUGUUUUAAUUUCCCUUUGAGGCAUUAAAUGUCUAAUCCUAGAAACAAACUAAUUCAUGUUGUUUAUUCAUCUUUAUUCAAGAAAGUAUACAUAUAACAUAAUAAUAAAGAUGUGACAUAAAACCCAGGACAGAGUUUGUAUAACAUUAGAUGCAUCUCAUGCAGGGUUAAACAAUUACAAUACACAAUAACAAAACGGAAAAGAGAACAUCAUAACGUCAGUGUUUUAAAUGAAAACAUUAAUAAUUCCUAACAAAAUAACAAAAACAAAAAUAAUUAUGUUCUUAGUUAGCAAUGCCUCAUAAUACAUUUACAUACCGUGGGCAUAUCUAUCAAUCUCUUCUUAAUGAGUAAUCAACCACGGGGAACCUAUCUCCAUAGAAAGAGAGUGAAAGAGAUAGAUAUAGAGAGAAGGAGAGAGAGAGAGAGGGGGGGAGAGAAACAAUAUGGCAUACCUUCAUGACGCGCUGAUUCGUUUGCUUGCCAUAUUUUGCUUUCUGGGCCCAUUCUACCUCUAAGUUCAUAAACUCAGAAAUAACUUGCCACAGUCCCCCUCAGCCUUCUUCUCCUUCUUUUGAUCAGCAACCCACAUGGUUAAGGCCAUCCAUCGACCCAUUGCAAAGGGAAGAGGCUAUACUGGCUUUCAUUUGCCUCAGAUUUAAAUUUUCCCAGCCUCGACAUGAGGUGAACUUUGUAAUGGUGAAGCAUCGUUCCUGUGAUUUUGGAAUGAAUAAUAGAAAUGUAUAUUAUCUUCAUAUCAUCAUCGUGCAAAUUCUACUCCAAGUAUUCAUGACUUCUAACGAUGUUGCAGUCCAUAGCAUAGCAAGAAUAAUCAAAUAAAUGAUGGUACUUACAAGUUUGCCCUAUAAGUAUCUGGCGUGUAGUCUUUAUCACGGCUCUCUUCCUCCUCGUCCACCAAAAGUUGUUCUGAAACCUUCUUCUGAACUCUCCAUCUCCAAUUCUGGGCAAUCUGAACAAUCUAAACCAAAUCAGUACCAUUAUCUUUAGAGGACUAUGAGAGUAGGCAUUUCUUGUAAAAGAAAAUGUCAUUGCAUAUCUUCUCUCAAACUCCUUUGUGCAAUUUCCAAAUUCAAUGUUGUCUUACAUCUAUACAUCCAGUCAAACAUCAUGCCGGUUCUCUACCGACUGAGAGACAGAGCGUUGACUCCCAGUUCAUCGUCUCUUACAACCGUGUACUCCUUGCUAAUGUCACUCUCACUUGAACUAGACUGGCUCUGGGUACCGGAAAGCGACCGCAGUGAACUCGUCUUCUUACUAUUCGCCGUAGCCAUCUCGACGAAGGCGAAAUUUAAUAAGACCAACAAUAUACGUACUUUACCUUUCAAAUCAUUCUUUUUCUUGUAAGAGGGAUCUAAACCCCCCUGACAAUCUCAUUAUCGUCACCAGCUUGUGGCGUUGAUCCAUCUCUAUGUCAGUGGAUCCCCCAGGUAGUGUGUCAGUCACAAAGGUAACGAACCGCUCAAUAGUGGUGAAGUCCUCCCUUCCUGCUUCGGCUGGAAUGUUGCAAACGUUGAAAAUGUAGAGAAAAACCAAGGCCCAUUUAAAAAACUUCAGAAAAUAAUUAUAACAGGUGAUCAGUUUCGAUGCAUUCUGACCCAGCCCUCUGAAGAGACCCUUUCAUUUGUAGAAUAGUGCGCUUGCCAUCCUACGCAUGCCUUCAUUUCCUUCGUACUUAGCUAUCUAGGAUCAAUUUGUUUUCGCAACGAAACUAAAUGGUCAUGUGGAACAACGAAAUUAGAGGUAGUUGAUCCUCAUCCACUCCUCCUGGAACGGCAACAUGAUCUUGAUGAAGUGGCCCAAAAAUAUCCCUUAGUGCAGUAUUGUCACUCCUGCUCUGUGACGUCACCCCCUGCACGUGAGCUGAAUAGGGGAAAGAUGAUUCUCAGUGCAAAGGCCAUGGUUGUUCCACUAUGAUUGGAAGACUUUGAGAUGGUUAUAUAGGCAGGGUACAAAAACAAAAUGGAGCGCCCAAACAUGCAUCUCAUCUCAUUGUCAGGAUCAAGGAGGUUCUCUACUUCCAUAUAUGAGAAGAGAGAUCAUUGUAGAGGUUCAUCAACCCAUGCCCUCUCUAUUCUUUGAUUGUUGGUACUCCUACCCCUUAUUGCACUUCCCCGGUUGUCACCUCUCAUUUGUUCCAUCCCACUACAAACAUCAUUGUUCCCCUCCCCCUACCCCUAGUCCUACGCACAAUUUUCCCAGGAAUUUCUGCGUAUUGGAAUGUUUAUUAACAAAGGUGCACCCAUCAAGGGCUGUUGUCAACUCCUCCUACAUGGAUGCUUCAUAUACCUUCUGUACACUUUCUCUCUUCCUGUCAUCAGGGAUGAGGUCUAUGACCCAAGGGGGUCAUCGUUUAUCAAGAGCUCGGCCAGCACGGCGUUCAGAAAAGGGAGUCCCAGUCUACUGUGAAGCAGUACUGCUGAUAGAAACUUUCCUUUGUCUCCUUUGAUGGACAAUGGAUCCUUGAGGCGUUCCCGCAGCAUGUCGUAGAAUUUGCGAUUCUGAGAUGCCCCAUCUGAAACAAGAGCCUGUACAUGGAAACCAGAAAGUACAUGUAGCUCAAUUGCUUUAUGUACAAUAGAGAAGAGCUGAUCACUUGUGCAACCAGAAUUUUCCUUGUCUUUCUCUUUUUACUGGAUGAUGUGGUGAGGAGGCUAUUGGCACUUUUUACGAGUCCAGAAAAGCUCUUAUCAUCAGAGUCAAAACAAGACUGGCCAGUUCUUGUUGCUGUCCCUUACACAACCAUAUAGGUCAAACUCGUCUGACAAACUACCUAGGCUCGUAAAGCCAAUGAUGUUGCCAGUAGAAUGAAAAUAGACAAGUCCUUCACUGACUUUCAUUUCGUCAAAUGACAAAACAAUAUUUUUCUUGUGACUCGCUUAGUUAUUCCGAUUAAUGUCAGUUAAUAUUUGAUGCAAAGGGUCUUUGUUAAAGCCGGGUUUCCUGGAUGUAAAAUUAGUAUAUUGUUUGAGAGUUCGUUGUUGGGGAAGUUUAUAAAAAAUAAUAAAAAAUAUUUCUUGAAGCGCCCUCUUUACCAAAAACUAUCCCCUUAACUCUAGAUAUUGGUCUAUUAUAAGGAAAUAAAUCACUCACUGUUCCACCAUCAGACUCUCCAUCACUUGUGAUCAGUUCCGAUGCAUUCUGACCCAGCCCUCUGGAGAGACCCUUUCAUUUGUAGAAUAGUGCGCUUGCCAUCCUGCGCAUGCCUUCAUUUCCUUUGUACUUAGCUAUCUAGGAUCAAUUUGUUGUCGCAACGAAACUAAACGGUCAUGUGGAACAACAAAAUUAGAGGUAGUUGAUCCUCAUCAACUCCUCCUGGAACAGCAACAUGAUCUUGAUGAAGUGGCCCAAAAAUAUCCCUUAGUGCAGUAUGGUCACUCCUGCUCUGUGACAUCACCCCCUGUGCGUGAGCUGAAUAGGGGAAGAUGAUUCUCAGUGCAAAGGCCAUGGUUGUUCCCCUUGUUAACCACUUUGAAAUACAAUGCAUUUCAUCCAGUGCUAAGAGGGAGAUUCUGCCUUUGUUCUUCUGCAGCCACGGCCACCAUGUUGCUGGUGUUAUGACUUCGGGUGAUGAGAACACCGAAUCAAAAUCUCCAGUUUGUAAACCUAAGAUCAGAAGGAGUGACAUAAACUAUCAAAUGUAUACACAGUACCAAUUUCAAUUUUGCAGAAAGGCCUGCAAAAUUGUCAAUGACACACACACACACAAAAUACAUUCAGAUAAACUAUUCUGCCAAGGUUAUUAUUCAUAGAAUUGUAGUUUAGUAAAUUUUGACCGCCCUAUAGCAGAAAAAUAAACAGGGAAAUCCUAUCAUAGGAAUAAUCAUGAUUGAAUGUUCAUUGUAUAUGUCAUAAUAAAAUGACUGGAGUUAUGUGAUUAUCUCUGUUCAUGUGGUUUAUUCAUUUGAUUAUUGAACACAGUACAUGCACAGUACAUCGAUUACGAAAUGCAAGUGUUACCUCAAAGAUUUUCAUGAACCAUACCUUGUAAAUCUUCUUUGGACAUUGCUCUCUUUGCUGUCAAUGCCACUGCACGGAUACCAACUCUCCUCCAUCUUUCCACCUGAUUGAGCAUCAAGCUGCGUAGUGGGGCCAUAACGAGCGUCAUAGGACUUGAACGUGCAGGCUCCAACUAUUGAAUUAUUUAGUUAAUAAAUAAAUGAGAUGAAUUAGCAUGGUUUUGGAAUUGGAACGUCACAGGUUUCUGAUCAUCUGUGAUGACAAUUAUUAUUAUAAUGUUUCGACCAUCGGCUUAAGAAAUAAGUUUUUUUCUUCUUCCUUUUUAGGUAAUGAAAAGAUUUCCUUGCCUUUCCGUUUUCAUCCUUUCUUUGUUCUCCACAUUUUUAAUACGACGUUGACAGUCCAUUCGUAAUAGGUCCACGUCAAUAGAGCGUGCGUGUUCAUAUUUUCACUGCAUUCGGCACUUCCCUGUCUAAGAGCUUCCACCCAUGGAAGUUCAUUGAAAUUAGUGAGGGUCAGACAUUUAUAAUAGACUAUAUUAAUAACAUGUAAGGGUCUCAUCGUUACAGCAUUUACCUGCAUAAGCCUCUUUCCAAGCUCCAAGAGCCUUCUCAUAGUUUGACAACUUCUCAUCACUCUCAACCUGGAUAAGGAAGGGCAUCUAUGAUUCAUUUCAGUUUUAUGAUAUACAUGUACGUUCACAUCCGCCAAAGACUAUAACUGUUUGAUUGUUCUUCUUAUACUCAUUUUAUCUAGGGGUGAUACCAUCGUUGGAUCCUUGGGAUAAGUGGCAAGUAAUGAAAAGACUUCCGUGCCUCUUCGUUUGCAUCAUUUCUCUGUUCAGCACAUUUUUGGCAGUUGUCCAUAUCGGAAGUCCGGUAUAGGUGUGUCCAUUAAAUCAAAUACAAAACAAAAACACAUUUGAUUAUCUUUUCAGGACCGUCCACUGAGUACAAGUCCUUCCACUUCUGUGAUUUGAAAACUGGAGAUGGAUGCUACAGGUAUUUGCAAUUUAGGGAACUCUGUUGUUGCCCUAUUUUCUUCUGCCACACUGGUCGGGUGGUGGAAAGUUAUCUUUGGUUCCUCCGGGAAUUUAAUAAAAAGCAGAUGUUUGCUUUGGUUGUUUAAAUAUGGUAAUGGUUUGAAAGUUUUGACUCUGCGGCCAGUACAAACUGUUAGACAUAUGAUAUUAAUGAACAUCUAGACCAAAAGUUUGGCCCGCUUGAAAAGUUUUCUUUCGGUCUCAUCGUUAUAGCAUUUACCUGAUACCAUCGUUGGUCGCAUUCCCAGGCCUUUUGCAUUGGCCAGGUCUUUCUUUGAAAACACCAGGUCUAUCACUCGAUUAAGAAGGGUCAGCGCAUUGCCUGAAGUAGCAGUAUGGGCUCUCCGUUCAGCCUGGGACAACUUUACUUGAUCGACAAGUACAUUGAGAUACAGUUCAGGAUUAUUGGGAUCCCGAGCCAGUUGAAUCUGUUUGAUACAGAGCAGCACAAAAUGUAACAGCCUCAUCACAUAUAAGAUACAAUGUAUACACAUUACACACAUUAUCAUAAUUGGCAAAAACAAUAUUGUUAAUUGAAUGCACGUGUAGGUAAAGAGAAAAGUCUGUCAUUUCUAUUUCAUGUUUAGAACUCUGUACAUGAAACAUUAACUUGCAUUUAUAUGGCCAUUUCAUCCAGUGCUAAGAGGGAGAUUCUGCCUUUGCAGCCAUGGCCACCAUGUUGCUGAUGUUAUCACUUCAGGUGAUGAGAAGACCAAAUCCAAAUCUCCAGUUUGUAAAUAAUGAAUUAGCCUAAUUUAAGCUAUACAUCUAUAUCUUACAGUUUUUUUAAUUUACACUAAUAAUAUAAUCAAGACAAUUAUGCAUUUUGUAUAAUACAGGUAAAUUUCCAUUUGUAUGAUGGGCAAUGACUGAUGGUUCGAAUAUUAUAAAUUAUGUAUGAAAAGAUGGGUAAAGCUCUAGCCUGUAGAGUAUGAAAGUGUAUGGCGCAAACACACAAAAAACAUCCUCAAAACCUGCAACGUAUCAUGGAUUCCACUCUCAACACUCACUUUUAUGAUCAACUUCAGAGUUAGCCAUUAUUUUGAUAUUCAUCACCAUCUAACUGUGGCCUCUGACUGUAUGAAGGGAAAGGGGCUACAAAAUAGGCAAAUUCCAGUGUAUUCUCUACCAUUAAAUUUUCAUCAAAUGUAGAUCAAUUAGCUUUACACUGCAAUAACUAUAAUUACCAAUAAUGUCGGCAACCUUUUCGUGGUCCAGAGGGGGUUUGCUCUUGCCUUCUUUGUUUUUUCCUCCUGUCAGAGAGGAAUUGAGAAGUCCCUCCCGUCCGAAAACGGCAACCAUCAGAUCCGACGUUAGCUUCCCCACAUUUAAAUGGUUACAGUUCAGCAGGGUCCUCUUCGUGAGUGUUACAUGUGGACCAACUUGGACCUUCAAGAGUAAUGAUAGAGAGAUAAAAAAAUACAGGAUAUAAACUUCUUGAAGUUUUAAGGAUAUGUUAGGCUAAUGCAAACAGCUUUCGUAUACGUGAGGUGUGUCACACCAUCAAUGGCACUGAGCUUGAAAGUACAAAAAGCAGACAGUGAGAUAUGAAUUCAUAAAUGAAUAAAUAACCCAAUAUGUCUCCAUUACUCAAAAUUUGUAAAGAUCUAAGUCCAGUCUACUCUGUAGCAAGGAUGGCAACUAAAAGAAAUCUUACAUAAUUAUUAAUAUAAUAAUCUACACUGGUUGAAAUGCAUACCUACAUGUAUAGUGUACAGAUCAAAGGAUGAACUAUUGGAUGUCCAUUGAAAAAAAGAUUAAUAUUUCACAUAUUCUGCUCUGGCUUUGCCAAAUUUAGUGAAUAUCAGCCUCGGGACAACAAAGACACUUUCUGUAUUGAUGAUAUUAAUCCCGAAAGAGAGGAAAUAAGAGGAUUAUUUAUUACUUACUUUAUCUAUUGGGUCCUCACGUACAGCUGAAGUUGAGGGACUGCACAGUGCUAAUCCUUCACUGUCCGACAGAGAGGAUGCUGGUGAGGUUGGCAAUUGAGGCUGCCUUGAUUUCUGAGAGUAUGAUGCAAAUACAUGUAUACAAGACAACAUAAGAGAAUUAUUUAUGAAUGAAUUAUAAUGCUAAGUUUGGGGAAUAUCCACUUCAAUACAUAAGUUGUACAUUUCAGACUGGUAUAUGUGGAUCAUGGAAAGAACACAUGACCAACAAAGAACUCUAUGAUAAAACUGAAAAGGUUGAGGAAGGCCGAAGAUGUAAUGGAAGAAAAUGGUCAGAAGAGAAAGUGCUCAAGUUGGAUUGAGUGAAGAUGAUGUUGGAGAUAGGGUGCCAGGUAAAAAUGUCAGAGGUAAAUAUGUCAGAGGAAAAAAUGUCAGAGGAAAAAAUGUCAGAGGUAAAAAUGUCAGAGGUAAAAAUGUCAAAGGCCUGAGCUGAUUUGGCCUGCUCCAGGUUGGCAGCAUAGUAUUUUCCUCCCACAUGUCGCUUAGGGCCUUGCUGCACUGAGCUGAUUUGGUCUGUUCCAGGUUGGCAGCAUAAUACUUAAUAAUAAUAAUAGGCAUUUCUGACUGGAGUGGCUCAUAAACUGUGCCAUCUCCCUCGCAUCAUUGUCGGUCAUGUUUUCUCAUGCCUUUAGUAAUUAAGAUGUGAAAAAAAAUCAAAGUUUUUAGUACAGAAUGUAUUUUCAAUCCAAUUCAAUUCAAUUCAAAUUUUCCACUUCACACAAGGAUAAAAGUAGAAUAGUUAAUUAGAUAUUGUGGUACUCACGUAAGUAGCAGCCAUCUUCCUGAUCAUGGUUGGAAGUCUCCCCGACCUACCAUCUUCCAACCACAUGGCGUUUAGGGUUUGCCCCGGGUUGUGCAGGGGACCACCCUGUUUUUCCAGGAACACUUCCUCCUCUUGGUCAUGUUUCUUUACCUACCCAGGGGUACACUCCCGGAGGCAGCUGAGGUAGAAUAUGAAGAUAUCGGCCGUACCUUUGUUAAGGCAGACAUCUGCCGGGCCAUGGGUCCUCAUUGUCUUGCUGUUUGAUGGAAAUUCAUUUACACGUUUCCUGUCUGGGACUAGCAGGACUAAUUCCUUGAUCCUUGUUCAGGUUGGAACAUAAUGUGCCGCUUACUUUAGAAUGACACAAUUUGAUAUUACAGAAUCCUAAUCUAAUUACAGAUAAGUUCAUGUCCCUGACUGGUACUAUUUCGCUGACAUCCAGCAUAUGUGGUAUAGCCACUCUCUCCUCGUUCUUCAGGACGUCUGAUUCAUCCCACUUCCAGCAUUUUGGAAGAAGAUCUCUGCUAUCAGAUAGUUCUGUAUUGUCAAAAUGGCAUCGCUGCAUCCUGGCCCCUCUUCAAAUUUUGCUUUAAAAUAAAAAAGAUUAACAAAUUAUCAAAUUAACAUGAUGCAUCAAGAUUCAGUGGUCUGAUCUGUCAUGCUACUUUUUGCUUGUUGAAGCAUCACCUGCAGGAGUUGUUUCAAAUUUGUCACUUAAUUUUGGUUGCGAUUCUCCUCCUAUACAUGUACUGUAAGUAAUAAAUGAAAAGAUGAAAAAUUAAUUUACCACUCAAAGUAAGGGGUAUCUUCCUUUCUACCACUAAUCGCUAAAUGGCGUAACGCCUGGAACUAUAAGAAACAGGUGUGGUCCUUUUUCUUAGACAAUGUGGAAAGUCUGUUCUGAUAUUUGAUAUUAAACAAUUGCUUCAGUUCUAACUUUAUACAACAUGAAUGUGACUAUAACAUUUUUGCAACAACGGCUUUCAUGAAGUUGUCCUUGUCAGCAAAUUUAUAGAUGUGUUUCAUCACUCAUAAUAAUGUAGAUAUUCAUAUUUUCUGUACGGCAACAAAAAUUGAUUUAAGAAAAUGAAAUAAAAAUACCUUUAAAUUCUGCUAAUACAUCUACUUGGUCAUUCUUGUGGUUCUUGGCUUACUGCUUGACAUCUUCAGAAAACGCUAUCUGGAUACUCUUCUUCCUGUGUACAAUGAGUGUUUCUUCCUGGAUUUUCUUGAUUGACCAAGAAUUAGCAUCAUUGUACUUCAUUUCAUCCAUUGUGCGGAAAAUUGACCUAGGUUGACUUUGACCUUCUUUGUACCGUUUAUAGUUUAUAGUACACAACCUCAUUCAGUUCAGGGAAGUUUAUGACUUUAACUUUUCAUGAUGUUGCUUCAACUACCUUGGCAGGCCACAUCCCAAACCCCGGGUAUGGGGCCAUACACACAUUAUCUUUUUUCCAAUUCAAAGCUUCGAAAUGACAGGAUGAGUAUGUGAUAUGUUCUCACAAUUCUUACACCAUGGACCACAAAGAUUAUUUGCUUUUCUACCUUUACAUUAGCGGUUACUACAUUUACUUUUUGACAAUUGCAACCACAUGUAGAGGUAUAACACAUUUUCUUUUAUACGUUACAUAUUGUCAAUUGAAUCCCAUUCAAAUUCAACACUCUCUUCCACAUCAUUACGACACUCUUUAAAUCCAUAUUUUGAAAUAUCAGGAUAAUCAAAUUCAUGUGUUCUAACCAUACUCCACAUAGUGCUGAUCCAAAAGCUGUGUAACCCAUGUAAACGUAGAGCUUCAUCAGAGGGCAAGAGCUGGUCUUCAUAAGUACCUUUCCAUGAUGCUUUUCGUACUAUAUCUAAUGCUUUAGGUCAAAACCCUUGUUGGCAGACGCCCGGGCAGAAGAUCCUUUAGAUCCUUUAGAGACUUGUGAUGUUUCUUGUACCUUGGGGCUGUAGGCAGAGUGUGAGGUCCCCUCGUCUGUCUAUGUGUUUCCAGCUCGUGUAGGCGUACUGGCAGUACCUGCACCUGUAGUGUGCAGGCCUCGGCUGGAUACCUAGAUAUUAUCUUUCUGACGUAGCUGUUCAUCUAUAAUAUAUAGAAGUAAAUGGAAAGCUUGAGCUUCUCCCUCUGCCCCUUCCAGUUAUAGCCCUUGGCUAAACUGAGCUCCAUGAUAGUAGGGUCUCCAAAAACAAUUGCUAGAUUUUUAAUUGUGGACUAAGAAACAUCAAAAUAUAGCUUACCUGGAAGAGAAAGAUGAUAUAAGCCAAAUGGAAGUGGGUAGAUUCCAAAAUAUGAUCCCAAUUUCGGUAAAUUGAUGCUCAAAUUUGAUCUAUUCCGUCCCAGUUCUGCAUUCAAAUUAACCGCCUCAGCUAUGACUAUUUGUGCAUCGCGUUCGAAUUUGGAAAGGGGGCGUGUUCACGAUCUGAGCCUGUAAUCCAAGCGCGGGCGCGCCGGGCGAGUCUGCAAAAAUAAAAGGUCACGUCGAGUUCGAGCGGUUGCAUAGUCUUGAUCCCGUCGUCCAAGUCAACACAAUUUGUUAUUUUCUUCUAGCAAGUAAGAAAUCGAAUCAAAGCUUUGAUGGGAUGUUUUUGGAAUGGUAGUCUACUGUUGAUAUGAAUGUACUGAUAAUCUCCGGUAGAUAUGAAUGUACAUCCGCAUUUUUGAUCUACUUUGAGCCUCAAUUUCCCGAUAUUUGGAUAAUAUUUUGCAACAACAACAACAAAAAAAAGUAUUGUAAUGACAAUGAAAAAAAAGGAACUUACUUAAUAAUAUAUGAAGUCAGGUGUGUUCUCGACCGUCACGCGGGCCCAAAUCCACCACUCCGCGUUUAUCGCCUCCUCGAUACAAUUAAAAAUAACGAAAUAAACUGGGUCAUCAUAAAUAAAGGUAAAAGUAAAAUCAUGAUAAAAACUAUAUGCUAUUAGGUGGUAAAAUGAUGAUUGGGAAGAUGUUAAGGCCACAGCGUAAUGCAUUUUUGCCGAGAAUUUGUGUGUGAGUGUAGGCCUAUUCUCGAGUCAAUUAGUAUAAAAGUUAUUAUUAAAGGCUAAAGACAAAUGUGUGCCCUGGCGUUAUUUUAUGAAACCCGUUUGGGCAUCUUGCCGGCAUCUGCCCAGCCCCGACAUUGCGAGCAUCGGCGCUCAUCUAUUGGAACUUUGGUUACUUUAGCUCUGGCGUUAGACAUGGCGAUUCAACUUGUGAAAGCUCGCAGAAAUUAAAGAAUAAUUACAUGAAUUAAUGAAUGAUUACAAAAUCAUAUGAUCCCUCGUUAUUAAUGAUUAGGUCGGCGAAUUAAUGCCAAUUAAUUAUACAAAUUAUGUUUCCGGCGAGUUAGUACUCAUUAGGAAGUGCAUUGAUCUGGACGUUGAUUGCAGCCAUUCCAUACAUUCCAUUGUGAUGACGGUCUGUGUUGCCAUAUCCUUCACUUUGGAUUUCUAGAAAGUGAUUAAAAAAGAGAGAGAGAGAACACUGCUGUUUAUGAAAUGUAAAAGCAGAAAAAAAAUGCAUAUUCGCUUUCAUCGUAUACUUUGAAUUAACAAACACGACAAUAGGGCUAAAUAGACACACACACACACACACACAAAUUUAUUAAACUUUUUAUUCACUCACUACUUCUUCUUCCAAUUCCUCCUCCUCCUCGUUCUCCUUCUCCAUCCUCUCCUCCUCCUCCUCCUCAACCUCCGGGGACAACCGCUGACCAUGUUCCCACGAAAGAUUCUCGUAGUCGGAGUCUAUCUUGGUCUCGUCGGAGUCUAUCUUGGUCUUGUCCGAAUCGCUCUGAGGAGGAAAAAUAUAUUGAUAAUGAGACAUCAAGUGUACAGUAUGAGCAAAAUAAAUAAAACAAUUACUAUUUCAAUGAUAAGAAUACUUACUUCGUGUCCCUCAGGAAUAGCCACGUGUCUCUCCAAGUCCGGCUCAGUGUCAUCCAAAAUAAUCUAAGGAAAAAAAAAAAAACAUAUUCUCUUUAUGACAACAAA